rnacentral:lncRNA from 10 species
GAGGACAUAGCAAGAACACAGCCAUCUGCAAGCCAGGAAGAGGACCCUCACCAGGAACAAAAUUGGGUCUCACCACGUUGCCCAGUCUGGUCUUGAACUCCUGGGCUCAAGGAAUCCUCCUGCCUCAGCCUCCCAAAGCGCUGAGAAUACAGGCCUGAGACACCACACCCAGCCAAAGGAAAAGUUCUUGAAGGAAAUUAAAAAUGCUACUCCAGUGAACACAUCAAUGAUAAGAAAGUGAAACAGCCUUACUGCUAAUGUGGAGAAAGUCUGAGUGGUCUGGAUAGAAGAGCAAACCAGCUAGAACAUUCCCUAAGCCAAAGCCUAAUUCAGAGCAAGAGCGCAACUCUUUUCAAUUCUGUUACGGCUGAGAGAGGUGAUGAAUCCGCAGAAGAAAAGUUGGAAGCUAGCAGGAGUUGGUUCAUGAGGUUUAAGGAAAGAAGCUGUCUCCAUAACAUAAAAGUGCAAGGUGAAGCAGCAAGGACUGAUAGAGAGCUGCAGCAAGUUAUCCAGAAAAUCUAAGAGAAAAGAUGAAGGUGGCUACACUAAAUAACGGAUUUUCAUUGUAGAUGAAAUAGCCUUCUGUUGGAAGACUAUGCCCUCUAAGACUUUCAUAGCUAGAGAAAAGUCAAUACCUGGCUUCAAAGUUUCAAAGGAUAGGAUGACAGCCAGGUGUGGUCGCUCAUGUCUGUAAUCCUAGCACUUUAGGAGGUGGAGGCACGAGGAUCCCUUGAAGCCAGGAAUUUGAGACCAGCCUGGACAACAAAGCAAGACCCCAUCUCUACAAAAAAUUUAAAAAUUAGCCUGGUGCAUAAGCAUAUGCCUGCAGUAUCAGCUACCAGGGAAGCUGAGACAGAAGGAUCACCUGAGCCGAGAGUUCAAGGCUUCAGUAAGCCAUGAUUGCAUCACUGCACUCCAGCCUGGGUGACAGAGUAAGACCACCUC